rnacentral:rRNA from 1 species
UACGUAGGGGGCAAGCGCUGUCCGGAAUCAUUGGGCGUAAAGAGCGUGUAGGCGGCUUGGUAAGUCCGCUGUGAAAGUCCAGGGCUCAACCCUGGAAUGCCGGUGGAAACUGUCAAGCUUGAGUCCGGAAGAGGCGAGUGGAAUUCCUGGUGUAGCGGUGAAAUGCGCAGAUAUCAGGAGGAACACCAAUGGCGAAGGCAGCUCGCUGGGACGGUACUGACGCUGAGACGCGAAAGCGUGGGGAGCAAACAGG